rnacentral:lncRNA from 1 species
ACUCUUCUUCGCCGUCUUCGCUACCUUAGCUGGCUUAGCCGCUGGUUUAGCUUUGGCCUUACUUGUAGUAGCCUUCGGUUUCGCCGCAACUUUAGCCUUUGCCUUCACAGGCGUUGCAACUUUAGCUUUCGCUUUCGCUUUCGACGCGGUUUUAGUCGCCUUCGGCUUGGACUUUGCGGCGGUAGUGGUAGUUGCAGAUUUAGGCUUCGCGGCGGCAGGUUUCUUAGCUACGGCGGCUGGUUUCUUAGCUGCGGCAUAAGCCGAAGGCAGCUUAAAAGAGGCUUUCACUUUUACGAGCUUUCCGGAAGCAACAAACUUCUUCGUCUGAACAAGUAAGACUUUGCGGAAAUUCGCCGGUAAUUGCUUAUGCUUCUCUUCAAUGAAUUUCGCAAUCGCAUAUUGGCUCGAUCCUGUCCUCUCUUUCAACGAAACGAUUGCAUCUGAAAUC